rnacentral:lncRNA from 1 species
GUGGAUCGAGUUGGAGAUCCGCCCAUUGAAGUUGAAGAUGAUGACUACAUUCAAGUUUAAGGAUGUGUUCAGGUGCUCGGUGUAAGAAUUUGUGUACUUGUCUAACUUUUUUUUUGUUGCAUUCCUUAAAUUCUGCUACUUGACUUUGUUGAUGAUCAAAAAAUUGUAACACUAGUUGGAUUUCCAUGUAUUAAAUAUAUUUGAGACAGAACAUCUUUGACAGCUGGUUGACAAGGACUUCAACAAAUUCAAGGUAAUAUGUUAGGAAUAUGAUUUAUGAAACUGUUUUCUAUUUUGACCAUGCAACUUCUUUUAAGUGGGUAUUAUUAUAUUUAUAUAGAUCAAGAGAAGAAGCUUCGUUGUUGUUGCAACUAUCUGCAGUAACCAAUUAUAUACCUGAAUCUGCACCCGAGAUGGUAUAUCACCUUUUGAACCUCUAAAAAUCUUGAAGUUGAAAAUAAAAAUUCAAGUUGUAUAGAUCAACAUGAUAAGACGAUGAAAAGAAAGUAUGGCAUAUAUCAUGGUGAUAAUAUCUCUAAGGAACAGUUUG